rnacentral:rRNA from 1 species
AACGAACGCUGGCGGCAGGCUUAACACAUGCAAGUCGAGCGCGUAGCAAUACGAGCGGCAGACGGGUGAGUAACGCGUGGGAAUCUACCCAACCCUACGGAAUAACCCAGGGAAACUUGGACUAAUACCGUAUACGCCCUUUGGGGGAAAGAUUUAUCGGGGAUGGAUGAGCCCGCGUUGGAUUAGCUAGUUGGUGGGGUAAAGGCCUACCAAGGCGACGAUCCAUAGCUGGUCUGAGAGGAUGAUCAGCCACAUUGGGACUGAGACACUGCCGAACCUCCGACGGGAGGCGGCAGUGGGGAAUAUUGGACAAUGGGCGCAAGCCUGAUCCAGCAAUGCCGCGUGAGUGAUGAAGGCCCUAGGGUUGUAAAGCUCUUUCACCGGAGAAGAUAAUGACGGUAUCCGGAGAAGAAGCCCCGGCUAACUUCGUGCCAGCCGCCGCAGUAACAC